rnacentral:rRNA from 1 species
CACGUAGGGGGCAAGCGUUGUCCGGAUUUAUUGGGCGUAAAGAGCUCGUAGGCGGCUCAGUAAGUCAGGUGUGAAACCUCCAGGCUCAACCUGGAGACGCCACCUGAUACUGCUGUGGCUAGAGUCCGGUAGGGGAGCGUGGAAUUCCUGGUGUAGCGGUGAAAUGCGUAGAGAUCAGGAAGAACAUCGGUGGCGAAGGCGCUCUGCUGGACCAUAACUGACACUCAGGGACGAAAGCUACGGGGAGCGAAUGGG